GAGCUUAGGUAUUGCCGUUGGGUUAGAGAGAGAGAGAGAGAGAGAGAGUUUGGGAGUCGUCUAUAAUAUGAGCGAAUAGGAAGAUGUGCGUCUAAAGUCCGAAGCAUUUGUCAUAACUUGUUGAAGAGAGUACACAAGUUCGGUCAAUUUUGCUGCACCUUGGCCAGGCCUGCACCUUCCUUCCUCCAUCUACAUCUUCUUUUUAUUCUUCUCUCUCUCUCUCUCUCUUUAUUCCCUCUUAAACCUUCUCUAGUUCCACCUCGUUUUCCUAGUGAAUAUUCACACGUUGUAGAUACCACACAACAACACAACACAACACAACACAACACAUACUUUCUUCUAUUUUCUUUGUCUUUCUCAAAGCCAAUUCAAAUUAAUAAGGUUGAGAGCCAGGAUUAUUGGAAACCAAAUCAAAGAUGGGUUUUUUCUCAAAGGAAGAGAAAUCAAAGAGGGUAUUGAGGGGAGUCAAGACGGUGUUCUUCUUGAUCACCAUGGUUAUGUCUCUUCUUCUCUUCUCUGCCCCGGUUCUACUUGUCAUAGCCGAUGCACUUGUUCCUUCUGCUCUGCUUUCAACUCUCUCCUCCUCUUCUUCUUCUUCUUCUUCCCUCUCCAUGGAAACACUCUCUUCCCAUUUCCGCAACUACGAUUUCAGAUACUCACUUCUUGACAUACCCCUCGUCUCCAUCAUAAGGUCCUUCAUCAUCUUCUGUGUUUAUAGUUUGUGUGAUGGGCCAAGGCUAUCAAGGGGACCGUAUUUGGGGAUAACAACGAUGUGCUGCGUGGUGUCUCUGAUGUUUGUGUCGCUGAAAGCGGUUUACAUGUUAAGCAUGGUUGAUGAGAGUAGUGGGUAUGUUAGAGCCUCUGAAAUCGCGCUGUUCGUGUGUUCCUCUGCGUUGGCUGUGGGCCAUGUUAUCGUGGCCUACCGAACAAGUUGCAGAGAAAGGAGGAAGCUUUUGCUCUACAAAAUUGACAUUGAGGCUAUUUCAGCUUGCAAAAAUGGGUAUCCGAGGUAUCCCAAGAUUCUUCAAGGGGAAAGAAUCAAAUGAAUCCCCACCAUUCAUGGCACUAACAAUAACAAAUUAAAUUAGAGGGAACCAAUAUUAUUAUUAUCAUCAUCAGUGUAAUAUAUAUAUAUAUAUAUAUAUUUCAGCUAACAGCUUCAUCAGCUAUUCAUACUAAGAUGCGUCAAAGGAUGCUAAGGUUUAUCCGAAGGAUUUGCCUUACCUUGAUGCCUAACACUCAUUAGAUUUUACUUUUUACAUUUACGGCUACCAUGAUGCAAAAAGUUGUUGCAUGGUGUUUUUAAGUAUGUAUAAGUGCAAAUAAUAGAUCUUCAUCUUUCUGGGGUUUAUGUAAUAUCUUUUUUCUUUCUUUUUGCUCUUUGGUGUUUCCCAGCCCUUUUAUGUUUGGUUUAUACCUCUUGUAUAUAUAAAAGUGAAUGGAAUGUCAGUAAUGCUAUUACUUAGUGAAAUUACUACUCAACUUAUGACA